UACGUAGGGUGCAAGCGUUAAUCGGAAUUACUGGGCGUAAAGCGUGCGUAGGUGGUUUGUUAAGUCUGAUGUGAAAGCCCUGGGCUCAACCUGGGAAUGGCAUUGGAUACUGGCAGGCUAGAGUGCGGUAGAGGAUGGCGGAAUUCCCGGUGUAGCAGUGAAAUGCGUAGAGAUCGGGAGGAACAUCUGUGGCGAAGGCGGCCAUCUGGACCAGCACUGACACUGAGGCACGAAAGCGUGGGGAGCAAACAGG
rnacentral:rRNA from 1 species